CACACACACGUAACAGAGUCACACACACACACAAAAAAAAAAAAAAAAAAAACAAACUCCAUUAGUAACACACACAAAUAAACAAACCACGGAUCUCAGGCAUAAACUUAUCCGACAACGGUUCUUUUGUGGUUAGGUUGUUGAGUUAUCAUUAUGGCUUUUUUCUCUCCCGGAAUUGGAUUCUUGUAUACUUCAAUCAAUGUGGGAUAGACUAUUUUCAUAAAUAUAUCAAUACAGUUUCUCUAUAAGAUUUGCAAAAAUGAGCGGGUUUUGAUGGAACGAAUGAGAAGCCUAAAAAUUCACGAAGAUCAACCUGAGGAGCAAGAUCCUCAACCAGAGGCAGAAAAGGUGAAGCAAUGUGUGAGCAUGACAGAACUCUUCUUUCUCAAGCCAUGCUUUCGUGCAAAAGAUUUUUUGAUAAUCACGAGAAUUUUGGUUUGAUCAGUUAAGUCGUUCUUGUGAUCUUUGAUUAAGGUUUUUCAACAGUUUGAGCAACUCUGAAACGUGAUGGCUUUGUUAUGGAUUUAGCUGCUAUUUUAUGGACUAGGAAUUGUUGUUGGCAUAGUGUCUUUACACCUGUUUUGUUUUUGAAAGUCCAGGAAUUUUAGGUUAUGAAGGGAAAUGUUUUGACAACACAUGAAAUGUUUGAAAUGUGGUAAUAUGUCACUAUGACAUUCAACA